CGCAGGGGGAAGCGGCCCUAGAGGCCAGCGGGGCCGCCGGGGGCUCUCCCCCCGGCCUGGUAUGGGCCAGGCGCUGACCCGGGGGUCACGCCUGUCGGGGGAGGGGACCUCGCAGACCCUACGGGAACGGUCCCGGCGCCGGCAUAAAGCUUCCCCCAGACCGCUGAGAGGGGGUCCCCCGUUUCUCCUUAAAAGGGUCCUGCGACCUCCCAGAGAGGAGCGCCUUCACAAUGGGAAGAGAUACCCGCAGACCUCAGAGGUCGUUCUCUGCCAUCUAAGAAAAGAGUCUUUUCAGAUACUUACAAAAGAAUCCGCGAGGCUUUCUGUGAAGCGCCUUGCUUAGGCAUUACACCCUCCACCCCGCUACGUUAGGGGAGUGUGACGUUUCCUCGCUGACCCCCAACCCCCUGCAUUUCGUCUUCAUUUGUCCACAUCUAAGCAGCUUGCAAGUUUUCUCCCUAAGUCAUUCAACUACAUCUCUCCUCUUUGUCUUCCGUCUUUUGUUUCUGCUCAAGCAGUUCCCCAUGUGUCUGAAUGAUGUCCAGGCCUGGUUUCACUCCAAAAGGAGAAAAAAGGGAGGAGCGGGAAUCAGUAAAGCUCACAGGAAACCUCCUGAGCAGGCCCACCUGGAAACGGCUGCAGGAAGGAAGAAAUUAAUACAUCCUGGAACCAGGACUUUACCCCCUCCCCUUUUAGUAUAAAAGAAGCAUGACUUCUAACCCAGGGAAGAUGGUUCUUUAGGACACUAGUCCACCAUCUUCUCCAUCUGCUAGCUUUCCAAAUAAAGUUGUUUUUCCUUGCCCCAA